CUAGGACGAACGCUGGCGGCGUGCUUAACACAUGCAAGUCGAGCGAUGAAGCUCCUUCGGGAGUGGAUUAGCGGCGGACGGGUGAGUAACACGUGGGUAACCUGCCUCAUAGAGGGGAAUAGCCUUUCGAAAGGAAGAUUAAUACCGCAUAAGAUUGUAGUACCGCAUGGUACAGCAAUUAAAGGAGUAAUCCGCUAUGAGAUGGACCCGCGUCGCAUUAGCUAGUUGGUGAGGUAACGGCUCACCAAGGCGACGAUGCGUAGCCGACCUGAGAGGGUGAUCGGCCACAUUGGGACUGAGACACGGCCCAGACUCCUACGGGAGGCAGCAGUGGGGAAUAUUGCACAAUGGGGGAAACCCUGAUGCCAGCAACGCCGCGUGAGUGAUGACGGUCUUCGGAUUGUAAAGCUCUGUCUUUAGGGACGAUAAUGACGGUACCUAAGGAGGAAGCCACGGCUAACUACGUGCCAGCCGCGGC
rnacentral:rRNA from 1 species